ACAGCAGUCGCCGCGGGAAUACGAAGGGUGCAAGCGUUAAUCGGAAUUACUGGGCGUAAAGCGUGCGUAGGCGGUUUGUUAAGUCUGUUGUGAAAUCCCCGGGCUCAACCUGGGAAUGGCAAUGGAUACUGGCAGGCUAGAGUGUGUCAGAGGAUGGUGGAAUUCCCGGUGUAGCGGUGAAAUGCGUAGAGAUCGGGAGGAACAUCAGUGGCGAAGGCGGCCAUCUGGGACAACACUGACGCUGAGGCACGAAAGCGUGGGGAGCAAACAGGAUUAGAUACCCCGGUAGUCCCUGUCUCUUAUAC
rnacentral:rRNA from 1 species